UUAUCUCUGUAGAGUCUGCAUAUCAAUAAGCGGAGGAAAAGAAACUAACUAGGAUUCCCUCAGUAACGGCGAGUGAAGCGGGAAGAGCUCAAAUUUGAAAUCUUCAAGGUUCUACCUUGACGAAUUGUAGUUUAAAGAAGUGUUUUCUGUUGGAGUUUUGGUAAAAGUUCUUUGGAAUAGGACAUCAUAGAGGGUGAGAAUCCCGUAUUUGACCAUUAUUUCCAGCUUUGUGAUACACUUUCAAAGAGUCGGAUUGUUUGGGAAUGCAGUCCAAAAUGGGUGGUAAAUUUCAUCUAAAGCUAAAUAUUGGCGAGAGACCGAUAGCGAACAAGUACCGUGAGGGAAAGAUGAAAAGAACUUUGAAAAGAGAGUUAAACAGUACGUGAAAUUGUCAAAAGGGAAGCGUUUGACACCAGUGUUGUUUUUCCGAAAAUCAAUUACGAAUGGCUUGAUUUCGUGUUGUAUUGACCUUAUCAGCUUUCUUCACUUUUUUCGAGUCUUUCUUAAUGCACUUUUCGGUUAGCAAGUCAACAUCAAUUUCUUUUGUUGUAAAAGAGUAUUCGGAAGGUGGCUUUCUUUUCGGAGAAAGUGUUUAUAGCCCUAUACUUCUACAAUCGGAGAGAUUGAGGUCUGCAGCGUAGAUCCUUCGGGGUUAGAUACACUUGUGCUAAGUUGUAGCUUUUCAUAGACAACUUGUUGACUAUGUUUAGUCAUGCGGCUUACUCGCUUAUGCUAUUUUACCUACGCUUAGGAUGUUGACUGAUAUGUAGUCGUA
rnacentral:rRNA from 1 species